rnacentral:lncRNA from 1 species
GUGCGGGUACGAUAGGUAUAUUUUUAAUUAUAUUUAUAAAAUAUAAAAUAUAUUUUUAUUAUAUAUAUAUUAAAUAUAUAUUUGUAUUAAUAUUUUGAUUUUAAAAUAUGAAAUUUUGUUAUAGUUUUGUCUCUAGCUAUCAGAUAGUUUUUAUUUAGAUUUUUGGGAUUUCGUAAACUUUCAAAAUGUUCUAAAGCAAAAGAAACGUUUGUAAUAUAUUUAUUUUUAGGCCAGUUUGUCCAAAAAAUAUAUAUCUUUUUUUUGUAUUUUUUUUAAAAUUCUUAUUCUUCUAACUCUAUUCAAAUUAUUUUUUGCCGAUUCAUGCAAACAAUAUCAAGAAUUGAAAAUAUUAUACUAAAAUAAAAAGUAGUUACUUAAUUCGUAGGUUUUUAAUUAACUGACUUUAUAAUUUUUUUAUAGAAUUUAUGAACAUAUAUUUAAUUUUGUAGGAAGUUUCUAAAUUUAGCA